rnacentral:rRNA from 1 species
GAUGAACGCUGGCGGCGUGCCUAAUACAUGCAAGUCGAGCGAAUGGAUUAAGAGCUUGCUCUUAUGAAGUUAGCGGCGGACGGGUGAGUAACACGUGGGUAACCUGCCCAUAAGACUGGGAUAACUCCGGGAAACCGGGGCUAAUACCGGAUAAUAUUUUGAACUGCAUGGUUCAAAAUUUAACGGCGGCUUCGGCUGUCACUUAUGGAUGGACCCGCGUCGCAUUAGCGAGUUGGUGGGGUAACGGCUCACCAAGGCAACGAUGCGUAGCCGACCUGAGAGGGUGAUCGGCCACACUGGGACUGAGACACGGCCCAGACUCCUACGGGAGGCAGCAGUAGGGAAUCUUCCGCAAUGGACGAAAGUCUGACGGAGCAACGCCGCGUGAGUGAUGAAGGCUUUCGGGUCGUAAAACUCUGUUGUUAGGGAAGAACAAGUGCUAGUUGAAUAAGCUGGCACCUUGACGGUACCUAACCAGAAAGCCACGGCUAACUACGUGCCAGCCGCCGCGGUAA